CUGUGACCCACCCGUCUUCCUUCUGCUGGGUCGUGUUAAAGCCUCUGCAUCCGUUUUGGUGCAUUUGAUGAAGCAAAUGCAAGCCACAGCAACAGGCGAAUUCCCCAGCGUAACAGAAGAGGGCAGAUCGCACCAUCUUCCCGAACCAGGGUCCACUCCAGAUUCUAUGGAGCCUACAUUCAACAGCAGCCGUGGGAGGGAGCAAUUCUUCAUCCUAACUCAGUCUCCAGGAGUAUGGUUGUCAAGAGAAGGCAAGAACGGUGCUGCAGAGAGCCAGUGACAGCCCCACCCUGAAGCUGGCUGGAAGGAGUCAGGAGUACCACACCCUCAAGGCCCAGCCUUCAAACCCCGCCCCCCCCCCCCCGUCCCGUCCCAUCUCCUAAAGUCCCACAGCCCCCCCCAACACACACACCCUAAACUGCAGGGUGGGGACACAGUGCUCAGAAUGAGCCUGUAGGGGAGCAUUCCAGAUUCAAACCACUGCACAAACAAAAAAAUAAUAAAAGACGAAAUUAAUGAAAAUGAAUACAAAUGCAGUCAGUGAAUUCAGAGAACGGGUGUGCUGAGAAAUGCCGGUGUCCUGGAGGUUCCGGUGGAACGAGACCUCACCGGAGCACAAGAGAGAUACGGAGGACAAACCCUGGCACCUAACACCGAAAGGAGAGUGGCUUUAGAAAAAGGAGAAAGGGGAAAUAUGUAUAAAGGGAAAACAAGAGUUGAACAAUUAAUUAAAGAGCAUUUUCUGAGCCUCAGAAAGACUUGAUUAAAGGGGCUGAUAAAGUUCCAGGAAGGAUUAAUUAAAGAAAGGCAUAUACUUAGACAGACCCUGGUGUAAUUCCAGAAUUAUAAACUCCCAGACAA
rnacentral:lncRNA from 1 species